rnacentral:rRNA from 1 species
GCUUGCUAGAGAUGAUUAGUGGCGGACGGGUGAGUAACAUUUAGGAAUCUGCCUAGUAGUGGGGGAUAGCUCGGGGAAACUCGAAUUAAUACCGCAUACGACCUACGGGUGAAAGGGGGCGCAAGCUCUUGCUAUUAGAUGAGCCUAAAUCAGAUUAGCUAGUUGGUGGGGUAAAGGCCCACCAAGGCGACGAUCUGUAACUGGUCUGAGAGGAUGAUCAGUCACACCGGAACUGAGACACGGUCCGGACUCCUACGGGAGGCAGCAGUGGGGAAUAUUGGACAAUGGGGGCAACCCUGAUCCAGCCAUGCCGCGUGUGUGAAGAAGGCCUUUUGGUUGUAAAGCACUUUAAGCAGGGAGGAGAGGCUAAUGGUUAAUACCCAUUAGAUUAGACGUUACCUGCAGAAUAAGCACCGGCUAACUCUGUGCCAGCAGCCGCGGUAAUACAGAGGGUGCGAGCGUUAAUCGGAAUUACUGGGCGUAAAGCGAGUGUAGGUGGCUCAUUAAGUCACAUGUGAAAUCCCCGGGCUUAACCUGGGAACUGCAUGUGAUACUGGUGGUGCUAGAAUAUGUGAGAGGGAAGUAGAAUUCCAGGUGUAGCGGUGAAAUGCGUAGAGAUCUGGAGGAAUACCGAUGGCGAAGGCAGCUUCCUGGCAUAAUAUUGACACUGAGAUUCGAAAGCGUGGGUAGCAAACAGGAUUAGAUACCCUGGUAGUCCACGCCGUAAACGAUGUCUACUAGCCGUUGGGGUCCUUGAGACUUUAGUGGCGCAGUUAACGCGAUAAGUAGACCGCCUGGGGGAGUACGGCCGCAAGGUUAAAACUCAAAUGAAUUGACGGGGGCCCGCACAAGCGGUGGAGCAUGUGGUUUAAUUCGAUGCAACGCGAAGAACCUUACCUGGUC